rnacentral:rRNA from 1 species
AUACGGAGGGUGCAAGCGUUAAUCGGAAUUACUGGGCGUAAAGCGCGCGUAGGCGGUUUGAUAAGUCGGAUGUGAAAUCCCCGGGCUCAACCUGGGAAUUGCAUUCGAUACUGUCAGGCUAGAGUGUGGUAGAGGGAAGUGGAAUCUCCGGUGUAGCGGUGAAAUGCGUAGAUAUCGGAAGGAACACCAGUGGCGAAGGCGGCUUCCUGGACCAACACUGACGCUGAGGUGCGAAAGCGUGGGGAGCAAACAGGAUUAGAUACCCUAGUAGUCC